GCCUCCGCCCGCUCCGGCACCUGAUUCGCGGCCCGGCCCGGCCCCGCGGAGGAGGAGGAGCGGGAGGCCGCCCGGCAGGUGGUUCCAGCACAGAUGAUUUCCCAAUUCCUGGAGGGGAGUGGUCAGGAAGGGACCCCCAAUUCCACCAGGAAAAAUCCCCACGCUGUGAAGAGAUCAACAGCUACUCUCCUAUUUCCGAUGUGCUUUGUCAAGAGCCUCCCCAAACAGCAGCAGUCUACAAUGUCAGUUGAACAAGACCAAUACACGUACGUGCCUGAAACGAAGCAGGAAUGGAGAUCCCUGAGCCCUGAAAGCGGGAAGGGUGUUGCGAAGAAGGGAGGCAGAAUACAAAGAGGUUUUUUGCCUCUCGAAAGCUCAGACCCUGGAAAUCUAGUUGGUCAUUAAGGUGAUACUUCGUCUGAAUCUUGCUCUUUU